rnacentral:rRNA from 1 species
GGGGUGCUCGAGUGGCGAACGGGUGAGUAACACGUGAGUAACCUGCCCUUGACUUUGGGAUAACUUCAGGAAACUGGGGCUAAUACCGGAUAGGAGCUCCUGCUGCAUGGUGGGGGUUGGAAAGUUUCGGCGGUUGGGGAUGGACUCGCGGCUUAUCAGCUUGUUGGCGGGGUAGUGGCUUACCAAGGCUUUGACGGGUAGCCGGCCUGAGAGGGUGACCGGCCACAUUGGGACUGAGAUACGGCCCAG